rnacentral:rRNA from 1 species
UUGGAGGGCAAGUCUGGUGCCAGCAGCCGCGGUAAUUCCAGCUCCAAUAGCGUAUAUUAAAGUUGUUGCAGUUAAAAAGCUCGUAGUUGAAUUUCGGGGUCAGUAGGUUGGUCAUGCCACUGGUAUGUACUGGUCUCACUGAUUCCUCCUUCCUGAUGAGCCGUAAUGCCAUUAAUUUGGUGUUGCGAGGAAUCUGGACUGUUACUUUGAAAAAAUUAGAGUGUUUAAAGCAAGCUAACGCUUGAAUACAUUAGCAUGGAAUAAUGAAAUAGGACGUUCGAUCCUAUUUUGUUGGUUUCUAGGAUUGACGUAAUGAUUAAUAGGGAUAGUUGGGGGCAUUAGUAUUCAAUUGUCAGAGGUGAAAUCCUUGGAUUUAUUGAAGACUAACUACUGCGAAAGCAUUUGCCAAGGAUGUUUUCAUUAAUCAAGAACGAAAGUUAGGGGAUCGAAGACGAUCAGAUACCGUCGUAGUCUUAACCAUAAACUAUGCCGACUAGGGAUCGGAUGAUGUUAAUUUUUUAAUGACUCAUUCGGCGCCUUACGGGAAAC